AGGAGGAAGAACCGCAGUGGCGGGGCCAGCUCUGCAGCCCUGGAGUCAGCUCCCGCAGUAACUCCGGAGCCCUCCGUCUGCAGGGCCCUGAGGCUCCGGGGCGGG
rnacentral:pre_miRNA from 1 species